GAUGAACGCUGGCGGCAUGCCUAAUACAUGCAAGUCGAGCGAACGGACGAGAAGCUUGCUCCUCUGAUGUUAUCGGGGGACGGGAGAUUAACACGUGGUUAACCUACCUAUCAGACUGGGGUAACUUCGGGAAACCGUAGCUACUACCGGAUAAUAUUUUGAACCGCAUUGUUCACAAGUGAAAGACGCUCUUGCUGACACUUAUAGAUGGAUCCGCGCUUCAUCAGCUAGUGGGUAAGGUAACGGCUUACCAAGGCAACGAUGCAUAGCCGACCUGAGAGCGUGAUCGCACACACUGGAACAGAGACACGUUCGCGACUCCUAGGGGAGGCAGCAGUAGAGAAUCUUCCGCAAUGGGGGAAAGCCGGAUAGAGGAACGCGGCGUGAAGGAUGAAGGACUUCGGAUGGUAAAACUAUGAAGUUAGGGAAGAAGAAAUGUGUAAGUACCUGUGAAGAUAAUGACGGUACCUAAUCAAAAAGCCACGGCUAACUACGUG
rnacentral:rRNA from 1 species